GUGGGGAAUAUUGGACAAUGGGCGAAAGCCUGAUCCAGCCAUGCCGCGUGUGUGAAGAAGGUCUUCGGAUUGUAAAGCACUUUAAGUUGGGAGGAAGGGCAGUAAGUUAAUACCUUGCUGUUUUGACGUUACCGACAGAAUAAGCACCGGCUAACUUCGUGCCAGCAGCCGCGGUAAUACGAAGGGUGCAAGCGUUAAUCGGAAUUACUGGGCGUAAAGGGCGCGUAGGUGGUUCAGCAAGUUGGAGGUGAAAUCCCCGGGCUCAACCUGGGAACUGCCUCCAAAACUACUGGGCUAGAGUACGGUAGAGGGUAGUGGAAUUUCCUGUGUAGCGGUGAAAUGCGUAGAUAUAGGAAGGAACACCAGUGGCGAAGGCGACCACCUGGACUGAUACUGACACUGAGGUGCGAAAGCGUGGGGAGCAAACAGGAUUAGAUACCCCAGUAGUCC
rnacentral:rRNA from 1 species